CGAAAGCCUGACGGAGCAACGCCGCGUGUGGGAAGAAGGCCUUUGGGCUGUCAACCACUUUUCUCAGGGAAGAAGCUCUGACGGUACCUGAGGAAUCAGCCUCGGCUAACUCCGUGCCAGCAGCCGCGGUAAUACGGAGGAGGCAAGCGUUAUCCGGAAUUAUUGGGCGUAAAGCGUCCGCAGGGGGCUCAUCAAGUCUGCUGUCAAAGCUCGGAGCUCAACUCCGACCCGGCAGUGGAAACUGGGGAGCUAGAGGGCGGCAGGGGCAGAAGGAAUUCCCGGUGUAGCGGUGAAAUGCGUAGAUAUCGGGAAGAACACCGGUGGCGAAAGCGCUCUACUGGGUCGCACCUGACCCUCAGGGACGAAAGCUAAGGUAGCG
rnacentral:rRNA from 1 species